rnacentral:rRNA from 1 species
GACUACCGGGGUAUCUAAGCCUGUUUGCUACCCACGCUUUCGUGCCUCAGUGUCAGUUACAGUCCAGAAAGUCGCCUUCGCCACUGGUGUUCCUCCUAAUAUCUACGCAUUUCACCGCUACACUAGGAAUUCCACUUUCCUCUCCUGCACUCAAGUCUCACAGUUCGCAGGGCUAACAGUAGUUGAGCUACUGCCUUUCACCCUACGCUUACAAAACCACCUACGCACUCUUUACGCCCAAUAAUUCCGGAUAACGCUCGCCCCCUACGUAUUACCGCGGCUGCUGGCACGUAGUUAGCCGGGGCUUCCUCCAAGGGUACCGUCAUUUUUUUCUUCCCCAAGGACAGAGUUUUACGACCCAAAGGCCUUCAUCACUCACGCGGCGUUGCUGCAUCAGGCUUUCGCCCAUUGUGCAAUAUUCCUCACUGCUGCCCCCCGUAGG